UUCUGACAAAUGGAUAUUCUUGUUCACUUUCGUGACAUUUAUAUUCGUGUACUAUCGUGUACUAGAAGUCAGUUCCCGUUUUAUCAUUACGAUUGGAAUGGCUCUUAGCUGAAGCUUCUCUCUUCUCUGAAGCUUAUUCUGAAGACUGAACAACAAGGGAAGAGGUAUAAAGCUUUGUCAAGCUUGUUAAGGAGCAAUGACUAAUAUCCAGCUAUCCCAACAGUGCUCCUCUUGGCUAUACUAACGGACAGACUGGACAGUUUGAGGACUGGAGUAUGACCUGCUCAUUCGAGCGUUGCUGGGUAGCUCAGAGACAUCAACAUCAAGAGAAUCUACGUUUUCUCAAGCAAAAUUUAACUGAGUUACGAGUUGGGGCCUAGAAUCAGAGAAGUCCAGCAGCCUGCUAAAUCUUUUUGAAACGUAAUUUGAAGGCAUUCAAUCAUCCUGAAGUUGCCCUGGGUCACUGUAAUUGUGCUGCAGCACAACUGGCAACUCCCCAGGCCUUUGUGAAGCAGCUCCCUAUGUGCAUCUUUUGUGUACUCACUCUGUGCAUUUUCUGUGUACAAAUUUCUAUUAUUGAUUUAUUAAAUA